AGACAGCAGUGUUUGUGUGAGUGGGGAACUCUCAUAGAUGCAGAUGGAGGGGGCAUGAGAUAAAAGGUUUUGAACCGGAAACUAGGAAACAGGAUAAAAUUUAAAGUGUAAGCUUAAAAUAUUUUAAAAUAGAAAAAAAAAAAAGAGAAUUGAAGACCCAGAAAUUUAACCACACAUAUGGACACAUGGUCUUUGACAAAGAAGCCAAAAAUAUACAAUGGAAAAAAGAAAGCAUCUUCAAUAAAUUGUGCUGAUCCUACUGGCAGUAUGUAGGUAUGUAGAAAAAUGAAAGUAGAUCCAUAUUUGUCACGAGGAAUAAAACUCAAGUCCAAGUGGAUCAAACACUUAACAUAAAACCAGAUUCACUGAAUCUAAUUGAAGAGAAAUUGAGAAAGAGCUUCAAACUCACAGGAAUAUGGGCAAAUUUUCUAAGUACGCUCCGAUGACUCAGGUUCUAACAUCAAAAACUGAUAAAUGGGACCUCAUGAAACUGAAAAACUUAUGUAAGGCAAAGGGCAUAGCCAGUAGGACAAAUUGGUAACCUACAUAUUGGGAAAAAUUUUCACUAACCUUACAUUCCAAAAUAUCUAAAGAACUCAAAUAGCUAAACACCAAAAAGAAAAGAACCCAGUCUGAAAAUGUCAUAAGGAACUGUAGAAAAAAUUCACAACGAGGAACCUUGAAUGGCUGAGAAGCACUUAAAGAAAUGUGGAAAGUCCUUAGUCUUCAGGGAAAUGAAAACCAAAGCGACUGAGAUUGGUAUAAGGCCGUAUAAUUUCCAAUAAAGAAUGGCCAAGAUCAAAAACUGGUAAAAGCACAUGCUGGUGAGAAUGUGAGAAAAGAGAAACAAAACUUCAUUUCUGGUGGGAGUGCAAAGUGCUAUGAUAUCUAUGGAAAUCAAUCUGGAGGUUCCUCAGAAAGUUGGAAAUAGAUCUGCCUGAAGGCCAAAGACUUACCUUCGUGGCCUAUGGCUUCCUAAUUUCAUGUUUCACCCAAUGGCUUAUUAUUUAGAUCUUCCUACUGGGCUUCGACUUUGAUCUUGGUAAGCAUUUGGUCUCUUUGAUUCUCAAACAGUUCUCUGUCCUCACACAGUUUUGAGGUACCGCCAGCCCCAGGGACAUAUUUUUUUCCUUCAAAUUUCUCCAAAUCUGGGGACUUCUAAUAUUUGGGGAACUGAGUGACAAAAGCAAUGUAUGUUGAGCACUUUAGUACCCAGUGUGUAUGAAACUAUGUGUGUUUAGAUAUGGUAAACCUCUAGAACAUACUUUAUUAAAGAAGCAGUAUGCUCUUAGGUUCCCUCUUUGACCUCACUUAACUUUGCCAGCUUUGUGGGCUGCUGUACUGCUGCUCGGAGAACAAUUGGAAACUCCUGGAAUAGAUGCCUCAUGUCUCAUUGCCUUUGCCAGGCUUAGGACACUAGUGGGAGUAGGUUUGAUGGGACAUUAACAAAACCAGGGCUUCUUGUGAACCAUCUGAAUGCAGCACCAUGUUCCAGGACAGUUCUGUAUGAACUUCUCAUAUCCAGGAAAUGGAGCAAGAGGAAAGCCAAGCAGAAGGCAUCCAUUUCCAGCACCCUCAACACCUUUUCACAGGACGGGGUAAGUUGACUUUGGUAGAAGAAGAGAUGUCCUGAGAUAGUUGCCCCUCAUCUGAUCAGAGAAUAAGAGUUCAUGAAUUUUGGGGAAACAUUGUGAUUGUGGGGUUGCAGUAAGCAUCAUGUAAUGUGAAUGAGCAAAAACUAUUUUAAUACUAAAACAAAAUUAAAGUAUUAUCAAAAUGGGGCAAAAUAUAUUGUUUUACUAACUCUAGUAUGUAUACACUGGCAAACAUUUUAACAUCUAGAAUGGCUAGAUGUUGUAUAGUAGGGUGACUUUGUCAUUGACACAUACUGUGUACAUAGC
rnacentral:lncRNA from 1 species